CGCUAGCUACAGGCUUAACACAUGCAAGUCGAGGGGCAGCAUGGUCUUAGCUUGCUAAGGCCGAUGGCGACCGGCGCACGGGUGAGUAACACGUAUCCAACCUGCCGUCUACUCUUGGACAGCCUUCUGAAAGGAAGAUUAAUACAAGAUGGCAUCAUGAGUCCGCAUGUUCACAUGAUUAAAGGUAUUCCGGUAGACGAUGGGGAUGCGUUCCAUUAGAUAGUAGGCGGGGUAACGGCCCACCUAGUCUUCGAUGGAUAGGGGUUCUGAGAGGAAGGUCCCCCACAUUGGAACUGAGACACGGUCCAAACUCCUACGGGAGGCAGCAGUGAGGAAUAUUGGUCAAUGGGCGAGAGCCUGAACCAGCCAAGUAGCGUGAAGGAUGACUGCCCUAUGGGUUGUAAACUUCUUUUAUAAAGGAAUAAAGUCGGGUAUGGAUACCCGUUUGCAUGUACUUUAUGAAUAAGGAUCGGCUAACUCCGUGCCAGCAGCCGCGGUAAUACGGAGGAUCCGAGCGUUAUCCGGAUUUAUUGGGUUUAAAGGGAGCGUAGAUGGAUGUUUAAGUCAGUUGUGAAAGUUUGCGGCUCAACCGUAAAAUUGCAGUUGAUACUGGAUAUCUUGAGUGCAGUUGAGGCAGGCGGAAUUCGUGGUGUAGCGGUGAAAUGCUUAGAUAUCACGAAGAACUCCGAUUGCGAAGGCAGCCUGCUAAGCUGCAACUGACAUUGAGGCUCGAAAGUGUGGGUAUCAAACAGGAUUAGAUACCCUGGUAGUCCACACGGUAAACGAUGAAUACUCGCUGUUUGCGAUAUACUGCAAGCGGCCAAGCGAAAGCGUUAAGUAUUCCACCUGGGGAGUACGCCGGCAACGGUGAAACUCAAAGGAAUUGACGGGGGCCCGCACAAGCGGAGGAACAUGUGGUUUAAUUCGAUGAUACGCGAGGAACCUUACCCGGGCUUAAAUUGCAGAUGAAUUACGGUGAAAGCCGUAAGCCGCAAGGCAUCUGUGAAGGUGCUGCAUGGUUGUCGUCAGCUCGUGCCGUGAGGUGUCGGCUUAAGUGCCAUAACGAGCGCAACCCUUGUUGUCAGUUACUAACAGGUUCCGCUGAGGACUCUGACAAGACUGCCAUCGUAAGAUGUGAGGAAGGUGGGGAUGACGUCAAAUCAGCACGGCCCUUACGUCCGGGGCUACACACGUGUUACAAUGGGGGGUACAGAGGGCCGCUACCACGCGAGUGGAUGCCAAUCCCCAAAACCUCUCUCAGUUCGGACUGGAGUCUGCAACCCGACUCCACGAAGCUGGAUUCGCUAGUAAUCGCGCAUCAGCCACGGCGCGGUGAAUACGUUCCCGGGCCUUGUACACACCGCCCGUCAAGCCAUGGGAGCCGGGGGUACCUGAAGUGCGUAACCGCGAGGAGCGCCCUAGGGUAAAACUGGUGACUGGGAAUAA
rnacentral:rRNA from 1 species